CCCUUAGAUGUUCUGGGCCGCACGCGCAAUACAAUGUAAAGUUCAGAAAGCAUAUCCUGUUCCGGAAGGCAAUGGGUAAUCUUUUCAAUAUUUUACGUGUUAGGGAUCGAUCUUUGCAAUUAUAGAUCUUGAACGAGGAAUACCUAGUAAGUGCAGCUCAUCAGGCUGUACUGAUUACGUCCCUGCCCUUUGUACACACCGCCCGUCGCUCCUACCGAUUUCGAGUGGUCCGGUGAAUCUUUUGGAAUUAGAGUGCAAACUCAAACUAAGAUCGAUAAACCUUAUCACUUAGAGGAAGGAGAAGUCGUAACA
rnacentral:rRNA from 1 species